rnacentral:tRNA from 1 species
AAAAAUUUAGUUAAAUAUUUAUAACAUUAGUUUGUCAAACUAAAAUUACUCUUUAAAGUAAUUUUUA